GCAGUCGAGCGGAUUGAUGGGAGCUUGCUCCCUGAUAUCAGCGGCGGACGGGUGAGUAACACGUGGGUAACCUGCCUGUAAGAUUGGGAUAACUCCGGGAAACCGGAGCUAAUACCGGAUAACAUGUUGAACCGCAUGGUUCAACAUUGAAAGAUGGCUUUUGCUAUCACUUACAGAUGGACCCGCGGCGCAUUAGCUAGUUGGUGAGGUAACGGCUCACCAAGGCGACGAUGCGUAGCCGACCUGAGAGGGUGAUCGGCCACACUGGGACUGAGACACGGCCCAGACUCCUACGGGAGGCAGCAGUAGGGAAUCUUCCGCAAUGGACGAAAGUCUGACGGAGCAACGCCGCGUGAACGAUGAAGGCCUUCGGGUCGUAAAGUUCUGUUGUUAGGGAAGAACAAGUACCAGAGUAACUGCUGGUACCUUGACGGUACCUAACCAGAAAGCCACGGCUAACUACGUGCCAGCAGCCGCGGUAAUACGUAGGUGGCAAGCGUUGUCCGGAAUUAUUGGGCGUAAAGCGCGCGCAGGUGGUUUCUUAAGUCUGAUGUGAAAGCCCACGGCUCAACCGUGGAGGGUCAUUGGAAACUGGGGAACUUGAGUGCAGAAGAGGAAAGUGGAAUUCCAAGUGUAGCGGUGAAAUGCGUAGAGAUUUGGAGGAACACCAGUGGCGAAGGCGACUUUCUGGUCUGUAACUGACACUGAGGCGCGAAAGCGUGGGGGAGCGAACAGGAUUAGAUACCCUGGUAGUCCACGCCGUAAACGAUGAGUGCUA
rnacentral:rRNA from 1 species